rnacentral:rRNA from 1 species
UGGGGAAUAUUGGACAAUGGGCGGAAGCCUGAUCCAGCCAUGCCGCGUGUGUGAAGAAGGCCUUUUGGUUGUAAAGCACUUUAAGCGAGGAGGAGGCUCUUCUAGUUAAUACCUAGGAUGAGUGGACGUUACCGACAGAAUAAGCACCGGCUAACUCUGUGCCAGCAGCCGCGGUAAUACAGAGGGUGCAAGCGUUAAUCGGAAUUACUGGGCGUAAAGCGCGCGUAGGUGGUUCGUUAAGUUGAAUGUGAAAGCCCCGGGCUCAACCUGGGAGCUGCAUCCAAGACUGGCGAGCUAGAGUAGGGCAGAGGGUGGUGGAAUUUCCUGUGUAGCGGUGAAAUGCGUAGAUAUAGGAAGGAACACCAGUGGCGACGGCGACCACCUGGGCUCAUACUGACACUGAGGUGCGAAAGCGUGGAGGGCAAACAGG